rnacentral:rRNA from 1 species
AUUGAACGCUGGCGGAAUGCUUUACACAUGCAAGUCGAACGGCAGCAUAGGUGCUUGCACCUGAUGGCGAGUGGCGAACGGGUGAGUAAUACAUCGGAACGUGCCCAGUCGUGGGGGAUAACGUAGCGAAAGUUACGCUAAUACCGCAUACGAUCUACGGAUGAAAGCGGGGGACCGUAAGGCCUCGCGCGAUUGGAGCGGCCGAUGACAGAUUAGGUAGUUGGUGAGGUAAAGGCUCACCAAGCCGACGAUCUGUAGCUGGUCUGAGAGGACGACCAGCCACACUGGGACUGAGACACGGCCCAGACUCCUACGGGAGGCAGCAGUGGGGAAUUUUGGACAAUGGACGCAAGUCUGAUCCAGCCAUUCCGCGUGCAGGACGAAGGCCUUCGGGUUGUAAACUGCUUUUGUACGGAACGAAAAAGCUCUUACUAAUACUAGGAGUCCAUGACGGUACCGUAAGAAUAAGCACCGGCUAACUACGUGCCAGCCGCCGCCGUAA